GUGUUUGAUCCUAUCUUUGGGAGGGGGGCCCUAAAUUAUGCAGCGCUGGGAUCGAUUCACGGCCAGCUGUUCAUGAGUGCCCACCCAACUUGAUACUGUAAAAUACAGUGCUGACUGUUCAGCUAAGCGCACUGUGCAUGCCUUGCUAUAGAAUAUAUAUAUAUAUAUAUAUAUUAUUCGAUGUAAUUUUGGUAACAAUUAGUAAAAAUAAUGUUUUGCUUCGAAGCUAUCACUUCAAUUCUGUAGGUGCAUCACAACUUUUAUAAUUGACCAUUUACAUUUGAUACAAUGAUACUAAUAUUUUCAUCCGGGUUUAAUGAAUUCCAUAUUAUGAAUGAAAUGGUUUAAAAUCUACACAAUUGUUAAGUGCAAGUAUAGACAUUUGUUUUUUCAUUAUUGAAAAUUGUCUGUUUGAGUUCUGUCCAUCAAUGGAGUUUGUAAUGUAUCAAUUUUUACACAAUUUGCAAUAGUUAAAAUUUGAUAGAUUACUAGCCUCCAGGUCUCUUGCUUCUUUCAUGUAGAGACUUUUGAUCAUGUUGUAUAACACCUUAGAAUCCAAUAAUUGAGUCAUACAUUCAAACUGUAUGUGUAGCUAUUUAUAACUCAUAAAUACAUUAUUCUUUAUCAUUUUUCUUUGGGUAGUUAAAUCUGAAUAUGAACAAAAUUCAAUAUCAAAUUUUGAAUUACAUCCAACAAAUUUAAGACUUUGUUAGUUGCAAGGUUAAAGGCCACACCACCUGAAAAAAAAAGAUAUAUCAACUGCACUUGAAGCUGAGGUAAUUCAAAAAGCAUGAGAACACACACACACACACACACAUAUAUAUAUAUUUACAUGCACACACACACAUACACACAUGUACACACAAACACAUUCUAGUGCUGGUACAGCAGUGGAGGGGCCUGGUUUACAAUGAUGAGCCACAUGCACCACUGGUGUGUGCUUGCUAUGCACACAGAGAUCUGGGAACAACCAUGGCAGGUAAAAAAAACACACACAUCGUGACAGGCCACAGAAGAGGUUACAGGUUUUAUUGAAUAAAGACAUAAAAAAAUAAAGUAACUUAUAUUUAAAUCUAAUACAUAUUCACCAGGGUGCAUGACAGUGAUAUUGACACUGACAUCCGUACAAUGAGACACAUUAUGAUGAGAACCCUACAAAGCCUACAAUGUCCAUGGCACAGCUAGAAGAGAUUUAUUUACAUAUGUAAACCUAAUAAAGGAUAACCCUAAAACCCAGUGUCAUGCAAGGCUUGAGAAUAAUGUACCCAGUGACAUGGGCACCAUGUACCUUUUGGAUGUAUGGACCAACAUUUUGGCAUUGAGGUCCUCUACAUGAACUAUGCCACAAUGGCAUUGCCUGCAUAACAAUCAGCUCCUCCACAAGCACUUCUAAAUAUCAAUGUUGCCAUAUGUUCAUCCAUAUUAGAAGAGUGUCAGGUUAUAAACUUUUUAUUGAUGUUCACUGAUAAAGAAUUACCUAUUUUAUCCUAACCUUUGAAAGAAAAUGAAAACAAAACCUGACAUUUUGAAGGUAAAAUUAGUUGAAUAUGCAAGAAAAUUGGAUAAAUAAAUAAGUAACAAAACAGCUGAAUUGAAUAAAUUAAGGUUAAUUAAAAUUCUGGUCAAAUGUUUCAUUUGAGAAUUCAAGUAAAAUCUUUGUUUUGAAAGAGUUGACGAACCUUCCCAGAUGUGUAUUUCUUAUCAACUGUUUUUGUGGCAAUCAAUUUGUAGUUUUGCAUGGCAUUUUGUGAUGGUUCAAGAAACUUAGGUGUAAAUGGGUGAUAUUUAUGAUACUGUAAAAAGAAAGAAUGACUAUUCUGUUGAUCUAGUGUGAUAUGAUAUGUUAAAAAAAUGAAAUAGUUAAAAUGUUGGAAUUGAUAUUUAGAAUCAAUAUAAUUAAAUAAUUUGUAAUUAAUUAUAGAAAAAUAUCAUAGAUGCUAUAAUAAUUAAUUAAACCUAUAAAAUUAUAGAAAAUUUGCUAUACAUAUAUAUAGAUCGAAUAAAUUAAAUUAAUUAAAAUUUCAAUCUAUAAAAUAAUUAAUUAAACCUACAAAAAUAUUUUUCGAUCUAUAAUUAAUUACAAUAUGUUGCUUCUAAAAGAACAAACUCGUAGGUAUGACAAUACAGCACCUUUAUCACAUCAGUGUUGUUUUGUAAACUGCACUUUAUUGCAUCAUCUGAUAUAUUAUAAAAUAUUUACAAAUAAAGAGUUUAGUUUGGUUUAUUUUUUAAAACUUUAAUUCUAUUUUUUUGGUCUGUAAAUCUGAUAUUCUUGUUGAAUCCUUGUUACAAAUUAAAAACUUUAAAAUCUAGGUUUUCAAAAGAGUUGAUGACAAAAAAAGGAGAGGAUACAGCAAGUAUUUAAUGAAGAUGAUAGUAGAAACUUCAAGUGCAUGCAUUGAUUACACUCUUAAUACUAAUCUUAAAAUGUUAUUAAAACGCUUUGAGAACUCUGAAUUAUCCUUGCAUGAUUCAUUUAUUUACUUAUUUUUGGAUUAAUCGUUAGUUCAUUUUUGUGAAAAUUUGCAAUUUUUAAAACUAAUGUCCAUGUUUCAUAUUCUUAGUUAUCAUUAAAAAUGUAUUGCUCAUAAAAUCACAGGAGUCCAUUACUUUGUGUAAUUGAUGUAAAGAUCACCUGACCAAUAUUUUUAAAUGAAUAUACUAGAAGAACAAAGAAGCUGUAAAUUUAAAAUUAUAAAUCCAAUACAAUUGGUCAUACCAAUCUAUUUUUCUAUAUCAGCUUAUUGAUUGAUUAUUGAAUCUACACACGUAGU
rnacentral:lncRNA from 1 species